rnacentral:rRNA from 1 species
GACGAACGCUGGCGGCGUGCCUAAUACAUGCAAGUCGAGCGAAUCAACAGGAGCUUGCUCCUGUUGAUUAGCGGCGGACGGGUGAGUAACACGUGGGCAACCUGCCUGUAAGACUGGGAUAACACCGGGAAACCGGUGCUAAUACCGGAUAAUCUUUUUCCUCUCAUGAGGAAAAACUGAAAGUCGGUUUCGGCUGACAUUUACAGAUGGGCCCGCGGCGCAUUAGCUAGUUGGUGAGGUAACGGCUAACCAAGGCGACGAUGCGUAGCCGACCUGAGAGGGUGAUCGGCCACACUGGGACUGAGACACGGCCCAGACUCCUACGGGAGGCAGCAGUAGGGAAUCUUCCACAAUGGACGAAAGUCUGAUGGAGCAACGCCGCGUGAGCGAUGAAGGCCUUCGGGUCGUAAAGCUCUGUUGUUAGGGAAGAACAGGUACCGGAGUAACUGCCGGUACCUUGACGGUACCUAACCAGAAAGCCACGGCUAACUACGUGCCAGCCGCCGCCGUAA